GUCGACGGGUAGCCGGCCUGAGAGGGUGACCGGCCACACUGGGACUGAGACACGGCCCAGACUCCUACGGGAGGCAGCAGUGGGGAAUAUUGCACAAUGGGCGCAAGCCUGAUGCAGCAACGCCGCGUGAGGGACGACGGCCUUCGGGUUGUAAACCUCUUUUAGCAGGGAAGAAGCGAAAGUGACGGUACCUGCAGAAAAAGCGCCGGCUAACUACGUGCCAGCAGCCGCGGUAAUACGUAGGGCGCAAGCGUUAUCCGGAAUUAUUGGGCGUAAAGAGCUCGUAGGCGGUUUGUCGCGUCUGCUGUGAAAUCCGGAGGCUCAACCUCCGGCCUGCAGUGGGUACGGGCAGACUAGAGUGCGGUAGGGGAGAUUGGAAUUCCUGGUGUAGCGGUGGAAUGCGCAGAUAUCAGGAGGAACACCGAUGGCGAAGGCAGAUCUCUGGGCCGUAACUGACGCUGANGAGCGAANGGUGGGGAGCAAACAGGCUUAGAUACCCUGGUAGUCCACCCCGUAAACGUUGGGAACUAGUUGUGGGGUCCAUUCCACGGAUUCCGUGACGCAGCUAACGCAUUAAGUUCCCCGCCUGGGGAGUACGGCCGCAAGGCUAAAACUCAAAGGAAUUGACGGGGACCCGCACAAGCGGCGGAGCAUGCGGAUUAAUUCGAUGCAACGCGAAGAACCUUACCAAGGCUUGACAUAUACGAGAACGGGCCAGAAAUGGUCAACUCUUUGGACACUCGUAAACAGGUGGUGCAUGGUUGUCGUCAGCUCGUGUCGUGAGAUGUUGGGUUAAGUCCCGCAACGAGCGCAACCCUCGUUCUAUGUUGCCAGCACGUAAUGGUGGGAACUCAUGGGAUACUGCCGGGGUCAACUCGGAGGAAGGUGGGGAUGACGUCAAAUCAUCAUGCCCCUUAUGUCUUGGGCUUCACGCAUGCUACAAUGGCCGGUACAAAGGGCUGCAAUACCGCGAGGUGGAGCGAAUCCCAAAAAGCCGGUCCCAGUUCGGAUUGAGGUCUGCAACUCGACCUCAUGAAGUCGGAGUCGCUAGUAAUCGCAGAUCAGCAACGCUGCGGUGAAUACGUUCCCGGGUCUUGUACACACCGCCCGUCAAGUCAUGAAAGUCGGUAACACCUGAAGCCGGUGGCCUAACCCUUGUGGAGGGAGCCGUCGAAGGUGGGAUCGGUAA
rnacentral:rRNA from 1 species